CAGACCUAUUUGCUUCCGAUUCAAGCCUAUACACAGAACAACACUUGUAUUAACAUGACAGAGAUGAACCAAAGCAAGCAUUUAUCAUUCAGAGAUGAAAUGAUUCAAACAUUAACAUAACAGAACACAAACAAUAGAAAUCAUUCAGAACUGAAAAAAUGCAAUUUAGCAAUCAACCUCUCUCUUUGGCAUUUCAUCGAGCAUCUUGUGGGCGCUCAGCAACAUCAGACAUUUGCAGCCAUAAAACCAUCUUUAGCAAACCCAAAUCAGUCUUAACGCAUUAUACGAUGAACGUAAUAGCCCUAACUCGUUUUUUUAACAAAAUCUUGAUGAAAUUAGAAUUUGAAGAAAAUCGCGAGAGAGAGAGCGAAAAUAUCGGGCAAAGAAA